CCUACGGGGGGCAGCAGUGAGGAAUAUUGGUCAAUGGACGAGAGUCUGAACCAGCCAAGUAGCGUGAAGGAUGACUGCCCUAUGGGUUGUAAACUUCUUUUAUAUGGGAAUAAAAUGUUCCACGUGUGGGAUUUUGUAUGUACCAUAUGAAUAAGGAUCGGCUAACUCCGUGCCAGCAGCCGCGGUAAUACGGAGGAUCCGAGCGUUAUCCGGAUUGAUUGGGGUUAAAGGGAGCGUAGGUGGAUUGUUAAGUCAGUUGUGAAAGUUUGCGGCUCAACCGUAAAAUUGCAGUUGAAACUGGCAGUCUUGAGUACAGUAGAGGUGGGCGGAAUUCGUGGUGUAGCGGUGAAAUGCUUAGAUAUCACGAAGAACUCCGAUUGCGAAGGCAGCUCACUGGACUGCAACUGACACUGAGGCUCGAAAGUGUGGGUAUCAAACAGGAUUAGAUACCCCAGUAGUC
rnacentral:rRNA from 1 species